rnacentral:lncRNA from 13 species
CCGCGGCGACAGCGCCCGGCGUCCCGGAGAGGCGGGUUCCGGCCGCUGCUGAACCCGCAAGAGCCCCUGGGGGUCACGACGCUCCCGGGCACCCCUAUACGCGCGCACCCACCCUCCGGAGGGGCCUGGGGAGGGCCCCGCGCGCGGAUGCAGGAAAAGCCUCUACGUUUCCCGGCGGGAGAUCCUGACCCUACUGAGAUCCGGAAAGCGCCGGCCACUCCGCCUCCGGAAGCGACACUUCGGGACAGUUUGGGACAGGUAAGCGCAGAAGAUCCUCGGGAAGCCGAAAGUUCCGCGCUCCGCGCUCGCGGCCCCUCCACCUGCCCCUCGCAUCCUCCAGCUCAGCGGCCGCCUCGCCCGGGGCUCAGGGAAGUGGGGGCCCAGGAAAGCCUCCAGUCCCCGAACGCCCCCCGGGCAAAGCCCCGGGUCCUCCCCAGCGGGCACCCACUCGCGGGCCGCCCGCUCAGCGACAGCAUUUGCCGCCCCCACACAGUCCGCCGAAAGGGGCGGUUUGGAAACAGCCAUUUCCCACCCACAAUGCCGCGAAACCCCACGCCGGGCGCCGCAGCGGCGCAUCCCCCCAAACUCCCACCGCGUCCCGCGUCCCAGCUCCACGCUCCCGGGCUGGUCGCCUGCGGGGGCUGGGGUGGGAGCCCGGGGCCGCGUGGACGCCCGGCCCCAGCUUCUGGGCGGUCGGGACCCCGGGCGCGGGAGGGGGUGGGGCGGGGGUCCGGCAGAAGCCCAGUUUCGCCGCGUUUCGGGGAAGAUGACGCAACUCCCGGCGGAGACGCGGGGGCGACUCGGACCCAACUGGGACCCUCCGUCCAGAGCCGGGAGCGGGUCUCCGUGGGGCCGGAUCUCACCUGGUCGGACACGCGGGAAAGGAGUGAGCUGCUGUCCCGACUGCGGCGAGGCGGAGACGGCGACCCCGGGGUGGCGGCCUCGCGUGGACCCGCUGCGAGGGGAGCGGGCGGGCGGCGAUUGGCGGAGAGGCGGGGGCGGAGGCCGGUGCCCGCCAAUGUCCCGCGGCAGAGCGCCCGCCCCGCCUCCAACCCGCCCGGCCCGGGCCCUUCCCCGCCCGCCGCCCCCACCCCCCCAGCCUGGGACCCGCCGGCCUGCCCAAGCU